AUUGAACGCUGGCGGCAGGCUUAACACAUGCAAGUCGAACGAGUGGCGGACGGGUGAGUAAUGCUUGGGAAUCUGGCUUAUGGAGGGGGAUAACUACGGGAAACAGUAGCUAAUACCGCUUACCAUAGGAUGUGCCCAGGUGGGAUUAGCUUGUUGGUGAGGUAAAGGCUCACCAAGCCGACGAUCCCUAGCUGGUCUGAGAGGAUGACCAGCCACACUGGAACGGAGACACGGUCCAGACUCCUACGGGAUGCAGCAGUGGGGAAUAUUGCGCAAUGGGGGCAACCCUGACGCAGCCAUGCCGCGUGAAUGAAGAAGGCCUUCGGGUUGUAAAGUUCUUUCGGUGGCGAGGCGUUAACUACAGAAGAAGCACCGGCUAACUCCGUGCCAGCAGCCGCGGUAAUAC
rnacentral:rRNA from 1 species